rnacentral:tRNA from 1 species
GCCUGAGUGGCUCAGUCAGUUAAGUGUCUGACUUCAGCUCAGGUCAUGAACUCACAGUUCGUGGGUUCGAGCCCAGCAUCGGGCU